rnacentral:lncRNA from 1 species
CCUAACUCAGAAAUCAAUUGAAUAAGGAGACUUCUAUAUAUAUUGAAAUCUAAAAGCCCCUCAAUUGUAAAUAUAUACAAGCAUGAACAAUGCAUAUUUGCAGCUGAAAACCCAAUAAGCACAAUAUGUUCCUCUUAUAUCAUGAAGAAUUAGAAGUCGAUCACUCUUUAUGGUUAUUCCACCAAUUAUUCCAAACUGUUGAAUUUUGUUCUUCAAGAGUCAAUAAAUACAAGAGGAAUAAUUGAAGAAACCCAGAAAACAAAAUCAAUCCUUUCAAUAUAUAGAUGCAAUUUCCAUUGGUUUCCACAGAAUCUAUGAGAACCCAAAUGAAACAAAAAAAAACAAUGGGGGAAAGAUGAGGGGAACCAACAAUACUACUACUAAUAAAUUACUAGCAGCUGCUUCUCUAGCAAUAUUUCAUAUUUUAGAGAAACAACUUUAUUUGGGCAUUUAAUCGAACACCUAGCAUGCAUGCUUAAAAAAGACUUGGUUUUACAUACCUCUCCAUAUCCAAUUACCUCCUUAUAACACCUGAGCCCUUCAUGGUUCCAAUAUUUCAUCCUUCCACAACCAAUUUCAGUCACAAUUUAACAAUUAAAGUUCAUAAUUUCUUUGAAAUUUAAGAAAGUAUAUUACUUUUUUUUUGUUAGAGACUUGGUUGAAUUCUUUUUCUUUUUUUUGCCAUUCUUGAUUUCAUAUUCGGAAAGCUGAACGGACUUGUCAGGCUUCGAUGAUCGGACCACAAUUAGCUGUUCGAUUAGCUUGUCAAGAGCUGCAGGAUCCAAUUUUUUUCCCCCUGCUCUGUUUUUUUUCCCUUCUAAAUGUAACGCUUUUCUUGGUUUUCCAGAUCCUUAAAAUUGAACUUUGAAUAAAAGUCUAAUCUUCUUCAAAGACCAUGAAAUUCCAUUUCUAUUGAGAGCAAAGUGGUGGGAGUGAGGAGAGAAUAUAUUUGGCCAAAAAAUGUCUCUCCAGUGACUUCAGACUUUUUGCUCAUUUAAGCAAUUAAAAGGAACAAGUGCCCCUUUCUUAAUACCGAGCUGGU